rnacentral:rRNA from 1 species
AGGAUGAACGCUGGCGGCGUGCCUAAAACAUGCAAGUCAUACGGGUGAGCUUCGGUUCACCAGUGGCAAACGGGUGAGUAACACGUGGGAACACGCCUUCGAGUGGGGAAUAACGCUGAGAAAUCAGUGCUAAUACCGCAUAUGGUCGAGAGACUAAAGCAGCAAUGCGCUCGGAGAGUGGCCCGCGGUCGAUUAGCUAGUUGGUGGGGUAAUGGCCUACCAAGGCGGCGAUCGAUAGCUGGUCUGAGAGGAUGGUCAGCCACACUGGGACUGCGAACGGCCCAGACUCCUACGGGAGGCAGCAGUUAGGAAUUUUCGUCAAUGGACGCAAGUCUGAACGAGCGACGCCGCGUGAAGGAUGAAGCCUUUCGGGGUGUAAACUUCUUUUUUACGGGAAGAUAAUGACGGUACCGUAAGAAUAAGCACCGGCUAACUACGUGCCAGCAGCCGC